rnacentral:tRNA from 1 species
GGGAAUGUGGCUUAGUGGUAGAGUGCUUGCCUAUCAUGCAUGAAGACCUAGGUUCAAUUCCUCAGUACCA